AAAAUGUAUUGAAGUAUUCUCAUUUUCAGAUGUCAAGAAGCUGAAUAAAGAGCUACUUGCUCUCCAGUGUUAUGUACAGUAUUGAGAGCAUGCCAAAACCACACACAACUCUGAGCUCCCUGGCUUUAUAUAUACUUUUUCUUUUUUUUCCUUUCAUUUCUUUGUUUUUUUUAAACUGAUUACAGACUGAGGUACUCAUGUCCUUUUCCUUACUAGGCUAAUGGUUAGAGCACUUGCCCAUAAAAGGCCUUCAAAGAAUCCUGCCUGUUUUACAGGUGCAUAUUGAUGCAAGUUCCCAGAUGACAUGAAGCACUGUAACCAGUGGGCCAUUUUAGAAAAGGAGAAGCCUUAUGGGAUCCCUUGAAGCAUACUGGAAGAUGUAUUGCUUCAGCAGCCCAGCCAAGAUCCUGAAUGGGCAAAGGUGCAUGAUUCAGUCACCUAUGAUCUGGGGAGGAUUUCAGAUACAUUUUUCACAGCGUUUCUGGAUCCUUUGCUUGAGGAACUCAUACGCUCAAGAAGCCUUAGCACCAGGACUUCCUGAAUCAGCAAUUGCCAACAAAGACAUGCCUUGUAUAACAUCCUUAUGUGAGGCCUGUAAAAAGCUCAGAACAAAUAAUUAAUGUUAUACUCUUACUGAAAACCUUUGUGAAGAUGGUCAGUACUAUCGAAGACGUAAAGCCAAUAGUAAACAUGUUACUUCAGAACUGAAUUGAAAGCAGACUCUUACUUUGACCAAAAGCACUACACUUGCUUUAUGUUUAUCAGCUUCUGUGCGAUUCAGAGCGCCAAGAUAAAUGAGUUGCCUGCUGGAAGGAGGCAUUGGAGAUACUGUGUGGAGCAGCUCUGACCUCGUCAAGGCUUUAUAUGGCUCCUGGACUUGCUGACAGCUGGGGUUGCACAGGCCUUUCCUCUCUCUUCCUUGGGGAAGCCUCUCUGCAUAUUGUACAAAGCUGUCACCUAAAUCAGGCUCUGUUCCUUCUGAGCAGAAAAGUUCGGAAGAUAGCUGAAACACAGGCAAAACCCACUCAGUUUCAAGGAAGAAGUGCCUUGUCUGAGACAGAUUUCUCCUCAGUAUUUUAAACAUCCUGAGGAAUGGAUAUUUUGGAAUCUGCGUGGCUUGGAAGCAGCCAUGGCCUUAAGAAUGCUCCUUAUGUCUUUUCAUACCAAUUUAUUAAUUUCAAACUUCAAAACUGAAGAGACGGUAAGUGUUUCUAUGGUUGGGAAAAUAGGGGCAUCACAGGUAGUGACAAUACUAUGCCCCCACUUCAGGAACACACUGUAUGCACUUGUCUAUCCCCGUUGUGUAUUUUGGCAACUUUAAGCAUGUGUUCACAUCACAUUCACUUCAUAUGCUUUCUUGAUCAUCUGUAUGUGGAAGAUUAGCUUUUGGUCUUCUACUUUUUGACUAGCACCUCAAAUUCAUGAGUUGGCAUUCACUCAGAGAGGGACACAUUUGAUAUCUGGAGAAACCUGCUAGUUGGAAUUGUAUUGCAGCAUAGGAGUGUCUAGGGACUUCUUGGAGUCUUUGUCAUUGCCUCCUCUUCUUAAAUAACCCGUGUCAGAUAUACUCUAGUGCUGUUGUUCCUGCCUGGGAUAUGAGCCUGGAUUAGGUGAUGUCUUAAGGCCCAUCCUUGAGGAAAAUUAGGUGUAUUUCCUCUAUUCAGACAGAACUAAAUCAAGUGAAUGUUUUUUAUUGUUUUGAUUCAUAUUUUUGUGGAUAAAGCUCCUUGUGUUUCUCAAGAGUUUCUUUAUUGUGAGGACUCCUGCUAUUAUGUCUUGAACGUGCAGUGUGACUUGGUGACUGGCAGUUUAUAUGCCUUUUUUUUCCUAAUUCCAUUCAGACUCUGUGUCUGUCCAUUCAGUUUACUUAGGUAUAAAUAAAGAGAUUAGAUCAUUUUUUCAUCAACUGAUCAAGAUAUUAAUAUAUUUGCUUUUUAGCAUCAAAAAGUUUUUUUUACAAAAGCUUUUCUUAAACUACGAGGUUCUAAACAUUGAUUUUAGAAUGGAUUGGUAUCAAUGUUGUUGCCUGUGCUGCAGCUCAACCGUGCCUCAUUCAAGGGGUAUGUGUAUCUCAUUGGGAGGUGACGUGACAGAAACAGUCUGUCACUUAUAUAGCUGAUUCAAAUCACAUCCUCCGUUUUCUUCAAAAGGUGCAGUUAAAAGGUCCUGUCCUUUUCUUUUUACCAGCCCUCCACCUGCACACCUUUCUGAAUGGACAUUUCAGCAGUGGCAGUCAGAAGGGACUGUGACACACUGCAGACAUGAUCCCAAGGAAGCACAAAUUGUAGCUCGAUUAACUGAAGCUGUGUGUUACUGUCAAAAAUGAAUAUGAAUGAUAUGAAUGUUUGGGGUUGGGGAAUAAACCUGGGCAGCUGCGACCUACUGGAGGUCAAGGCUG